rnacentral:lncRNA from 8 species
GAGGAAAUGGAGACAGAUGACCCUGUCCAGUAUGGCUGCUGCUGCUACGCCACAGGAAUGACAAUAUGUCUACUCUGUGUUACUACUGGUGAGAGUCACUUUUGAAGGAGUGGACCACACUAUCAGGUUAGUUAGUUCUUGUUGAAAAGAUACACAUUGUUGUGCUCAAGGUUCUAUUCACUCCAAU